UAGGGAAUCUUCCGCAAUGGACGCAAGUCUGACGGAGCAACGCCGCGUGAGUGAAGAAGGAUUUCGGUUCGUAAAACUCUGUUGUUAGAGAAGAACAGCGCAUAGAGUAACUGUUAUGCGUGUGACGGUAUCUAACCAGAAAGCCACGGCUAACUACGUGCCAGCAGCCGCGGUAAUACGUAGGUGGCAAGCGUUGUCCGGAUUUAUUGGGCGUAAAGCGAGCGCAGGCGGUCAAUUAAGUCUGAUGUGAAAGCCCCCGGCUCAACCGGGGAGGGUCAUUGGAAACUGGUUGACUUGAGUGCAGAAGAGGAGAGUGGAAGUCCAUGUGUAGCGGUGAAAUGCGUAGAUAUAUGGAGGAACACCAGUAGCGAAGGCGACUCUCUGGUCUGUAACUGACGCUGAGGCUCGAAAGCGUGUGGAGCGAACAGG
rnacentral:rRNA from 1 species